rfam:Pelodiscus sinensis unplaced genomic scaffold scaffold297, whole genome shotgun sequence.
AAUCAGGUGGCUUAAUGGAUGAAGCACUAGCCUUUUGACCCAGGAAUUGUGGGUUCAAGUCCCUCUUGGGGUA